GGGGAUGUAGUUCAGUGGUAGAAUGCUUGUCUUGUAUGCAUAGGAUCCUGGGUUCUAUCCCCAGCACCUCGG
rnacentral:tRNA from 1 species